AAGGUUGAUGAUGAUGAGAUGGUGACAAAUAUUCUGAAUGGCCUUGAUUAUGAGUAUAAUCCAUUUGUUUCAUCAAUGCUUGGUCGUUCUGAUCCUAUUACUUUGAGUGAUCUGCUAUCCCAACUUCUUGCGUAUGAUC